GGUAAGGUGGCUGAGCGGUUGAAAGCGGCACCCUGCUAAGGUGUUGUACCCGCAAGGGUACCGUGGGUUCGAAUCCCACCCUUACCGCCA
rnacentral:tRNA from 1 species